rnacentral:lncRNA from 1 species
AUGCCCUCCCACCCCCAGCCCACCUUUCGCAGAGGCCCUGAGAGAGGGACCUGCUCAAGGUCAGGUGGGAGUCGGGACAGAGCAGGGACUGAUAGGGUCUCCUGCUGCCCUGCCUCAGGUUCUCCUGGCCGCAAGGAUGGUCCGAAGCAUUGCAUUGUGCCUUCUUCUUCCCCUGGCAGAUUUCAUUCUGCUAUCUCACUAGCUCAAGCCCCCCUUCUAUUGGGGGUCCAGUGGGGGUUCAGGGAGACCCCUGGGCUCACCUCACAGAACUCUAAGAUUCACACUAACCCUUUCCCCUGGAAACCCAAUGUCCCUUCCAUUGGGGGCUGGCUCUUGGCCAGGAGAAACUGUGCAUCUAGCCAAACUCAGUCCUUCUCUGGGGAGGGGGGUUUCACAGAAGGCUGGGGCACCCUGAGGGCUCUAACUCCCUGGGAUGGGGCCGUUCUGGGGAGCAAAGAUACACUGUUUCCCCCUACUCUUCAGCUCCCCAGAGCAGGGUGGGGGGCUGCAGUGUGGCACCUGCUUUGUCAAGCAGCUCCCUCCCUGCCUUACUCACUCUUCCAGCUACUUUGGUGGCAUCUCAAGUGGGAUUGUGUCCUCUCUCCAUUCUGUCUUCCUGUUCUUUCUGUGUCUCUCUUGUGCCUUGAUUUCCCUCUCUGCUGCCUGCCCUAUGCUCCUCUGCCUGCCCUGCCCUUUCUCCACCCCCAUGGCUCCCUGCCUGCUUGCCUCUUCCCUCUUCCUCCUAGUCCUGUCCUUACCUCCCAGAAAUUUCUCUGUCGUCUCCAUCUCUAUCCCCCCCUUUUCUGUCUUCUUAUUUUCUUGUUCUCUUGUAUUUCUGCUUGUUUUUCUCUUUCCCCUUUUCUGAGUCUCUUUGUAUUUUCUCUGUCUCAGCCUCUCUUCCUAUUUUUGUCUCUCUGUUUCUCCCUUCUCUCUCUCUACUUUUUUUUUUUUUUAGCCCCUUGGCUGCCUCAGAUCCAUCCAUCUGUCUCCAUCUGUGUGUCUCUGUGUGUGUCUCCAUCUCUCUCCAUCAUUCCCCUCUCUUUCCAAGUUUCCUUAACUCCCGGAUACUCUCCCCUCCAGACCCCGGAUGUCCAGGCCUCUUUCCCCGUGGGAUUGUGGGAGCCAGGGACGUCAGGAAAGUGGCAAGUGAGGCCUGGGAUGGGGUUGCCUAGCAACCACGGCAUCCUCUCCAGCCAGUUUCUGUUGCCUAGUAACAGCUGCCUGCCCAGAGACAGGGGCGGGACUGGGUGGGGGGUGGCACUUCCUGGUUUCCUGUUGCAGUAG